GAUGAACGCUAGCGGCAGGCCUAAUACAUGCAAGUCGAACGGUGUCUUCGGACAUAGUGGCGCACGGGUGCGUAACACGUAUGCAACCUACCUUACAUUGGGGGAUAGCCUUUCGAAAGGGAGAUUAAUACCGCAUAAGACAGUAGCUGGGCAUCCAGCAGCUGUUAAAGAUUUAUCGAUGUAUGCUGGGCAUGCGUCCAAUUAGCUAGUUGGUGAGGUAACGGCUCACCAAGGCAAUGAUUGGUAGGGGAACUGAGAGGUCAAUCCCCCACACUGGCACUGAGAUACGGGCCAGACUCCUACGGGAGGCAGCAGUAGGGAAUAUUGGGCAAUGGACGCAAGUCUGACCCAGCCAUGCCGCGUGCAGGAUGAAGGCGUUAUGCGUUGUAAACUGCUUUUAUACAGGAAGAAACGACUCUUGCGAGAGGCAUUGACGGUACUGUAUGAAUAAGCACCGGCUAACUCCGUGCCAGCCGCCGCAGUAAAAC
rnacentral:rRNA from 1 species